rnacentral:rRNA from 1 species
UACGUAGGGUGCGAGCAUUGCCCGGAUUUAUUGGGCGUAAAGGGCGCGUAGGCGGUCACGCACGUCCGUUGUGAAAUCGCUCGGCUCAACUGGGCGGGGUCAGCGGAUACGGCGUGGCUGGAGCAAGCUAGGGGGCAAUGGAAUUCCCGGUGUAGUGGUGGAAUGCGUAGAUAUCGGGAGGAACACCAGUGGCGAAGGCGGUUGCCUGGAGCUUUGCUGACGCUGAUGCGCGAAAGCGUGGGGAGCGAUCCGG